rnacentral:tRNA from 1 species
CGGGGUGUGGCUCAGCUUGGUAGAGCGCACGGUUCGGGACCGUGAGGUCGCAGGUUCAAAUCCUGUCACCCCGACCAUAC